UAGGGAAUCUUCGGCAAUGGACGAAGGUCUGACCGAGCAACGCCGCGUGAGUGAAGAAGGUUUUCGGGUCGUAAAACUCUGUUGGUAGAGAAGAACGUUGGUGAGAGUGGAAAGCUCAUCAAGUGACGGUAACUACCCAGAAAGGGACGGCUAACUACGUCNCGG
rnacentral:rRNA from 1 species